GCAAAGCAAAAGCUUUCUCUGCCACCCUGUCCUGUUCCCCACUUUCCUUCCUCCAUUCACUCGGUCCGGGUCUUGGCCUCACUCCAGGCUCAGGCUUUUUUCUUUGAUUCCAUUCUCUCUUCUUGUUUUCAAAUCAUUUUCUAUCCACACCUCUUUGACAUCAUGUUUUCAGCUUUACUAGUAUGGACCUAAAUCUAGUCCCAAUGCCCCCAACUCUAAAUCUAUAUGACCACAAUUUUCAAUGUAUGCCAGGACUGACUGGAUCUUAAUGUGGCAGGUGUUAGGGAAGGGAGUGCAAAGAGUCUAUAAGUCUAGGUGUGAAAGGGGCCAAGGGAAGGGGCUUGUGACGAUUCUCAUCUGUGACUCCUUCUCCAGUUAUCUUCCCCUCCUUUGGUGAAGCUUAUUUCAGAUUCAUAGGUCAAAUACUUCCAACUAAAUCUUUGAAUUCAUCAUUGUUUUUACAGACAGAUUAUUUUGCAUUGUAUUUAUUAUAGAGGACCUCAGCAGGCUGCUGGUUAAGAACAUUCUCAAGUCAGCAUUACUAUUUUCCAGAUUGUGUCCAUUAGUGCCUGGUGACAGGAAUCACCUAGUGUCUUUAUUUAAAAUGUCCACUCCCAGGUCCACCCCAGGCCUAGUAAAUUAGAAUGAGGGGCAGAAAUCUGUAUUUUUAAUGAGCACCCUAGUGAUUCCGGGGCUCAAUAAAGUCUGAGAAACACUGUCUAAGCUCAUUGCCCAAUAACCCACUAGGGCAUAAUAGAAAAUUUAGCAGUGAUUUGAAGGGUGUUCAUUGUGGUUGGGCAAGAAGAGGAGCUUCUCAUCUCCAGUGCCGUGAUUUGCUCACCUUUGAAGAAUAGGGUGAGAACUGGUGGAUCCAAGAGGUAUUGAGAAAGAAACCCUUCUCUGUUGCCUUUUGAUUACCUUCAUAAGAUUAAAGUUGCAUUUCUAAUUCAUGAUUUUGGUGGUUUCGACAGCCUCUAGAUGUACCAUAAAUUUGCAAAGAGAAGAGCCCAGAAGUUCCAGGAGACAAACCUGGAGCCCAUGUCAGCAUUUUGUGCUCACUAAAGCAGAAAAGGAGAUAGAGGUACUAGAGAUGCUUAGCAAUUAAGUUACUUCCUGUAAGCCUCAGUUCCAUCUUGCCUUCUGUAAAAGGGAUAUGAGAGAGGAAGUUGUUGUACUGAGUUUGCACUAAAUUAUUGCACUAAAUUUGCAUCAAACUAUUGUUAUUUAUUGUUUUGUUUGUAUCACUCCUGUUCUUCUUGCAUUUACAGCUUAAU